AGAGAGUCUGGCCCUGAAAAGGAAGUACAGUGUGGAUGUCGACCGUGAAGUGAACGUGAACGUUGGCCUCGUUUACAGUUACCAGCUGAAGAAGUUUUUGACGUUCUGCGGCACUCCGAAGCGCACCAUCCUCCUGAACCAUAUAGAAGACAUCCUGGAUGAGGAGGACCUGCGGGACUACCUGGAGAUUCACUUCCAGAAUCCCAGUAACUACAGUGGGGAGCUGGAGUGCAUCAAGCACGUCUCCAGGGGCAAGCAGCUACACUAAAACCUGGUGUUUCCAGUGUUCUGUACCACAGUGGUCUCUACUGGCAUGUCAACAGCACUGGUGUGGUUAACUUUCACAGCAGCGUACUGGACAUCCUCCUCCUGUUUCUGGGGUUGAGACGGUUGGGCAGUGGAGUAUUCAGGCACUUCCUGGUUUCUGUGUUGGGUGCUGGCGCAGUGAACGUUAUCCUGGUUGUCUGUGUCCACUGUCGGUGCUGCAGUAUGGGUCAUGGCCAUGCCUGAGAUGUUGUCAUACACGGGACUAGAGUCUCCCUGAUGAGGAGAGAGGACAGACAACAUGAGGGUUGAAAAAUAAAGUAAUAUCACAGUCAUUGAGUCCAUCUCUUCAAAGACCACUUUAGUUCUCAGUCAACUGAUUCCAACACUCACCUGUCCAUUGUCUACUGUGUC